rnacentral:misc_RNA from 1 species
GUUUUGGUGUGCAUAAACUUAAGGGAUAAAUAUAUAUAGCUAAUUCACAACCAUUGGCUGAAGCUGCAAAUGCAUACCAUGAAUGAUUAUUAUCUAGUGAAAGUAGAAAUGCAUAAAUCACAAAAUAUUUUGAAAUGCGUGACUUUCUGUUUAUGCUAUCUAUUGAAAAUGAACAUUAGUUUGUGUUGAGGGUCCUGGAAAAUUCAAACAGUGUGGAUAAUCUUUUCGCCAUAGCUUUUUAAGGAAAGAUUGCGCCAUAGAUGACUGCAUUUAGAAGAUCAUAAUUUCUUGAGAUAAUGCAUUCCAUGAAUGUUAUCCAGCCCACCCCUCAUCUCCCGAAACACAGAAGCACACACUUGAUUGUUUAAGUGACUAAACUAUCUUCUGCUAGUCAACAAUUUUAUUGCACAUCUGUCAGAGUAAUUAUGUUUAAAAUAGCAGGGUCCCUGCCUCUCCCUUGGUCCA